UAAGGUUUAAAAACUCACAAAAUCAACCCAUCUUCAACUCUUGCCAUGUGUGAUUCGCCUUUUUUCGGUUUUUUAAUACAGUUCUUAACAAAAACAACGUGUUCUCUUACUUGAAUUAGCAAAAAUCAAUUCCUCCUUCCAAUUUGCUUUUGCCUUAAUUCGAAAACAACUGCACCCGUUUUAUAUUCAUUUUUAAUUUUACCUUUUUCCCCCCUCACUUUCUCAAAAACCAGACACUGCUCACGGCCAUAUACUCUAUACAAUGUAAUGCAGAGCUGCUAUUGUUCUUGUUGUGGUGGGAUCGAUCGAAGCUUGUGAUUACUGUACUGAGAAUCUCUAAUAUGUUUUGACUUUUUCUCGAUUGGACAAAUUGUCGCAGAAACCCAGGUCCCGCAUCCUUUUCAGUCCGUCAAAUCGUUACCAAUUGAUUUUAGCUUCAUGGGUCCACCAGCUUCUGAACAGUUUGAAAAGUCCAACCAUAUAAAAUUUAAAACAUGGUGAUGUUAUUGGUUCAAGUUCCCUUGAAAAUGGUCAGAUAGGGAAUGAGGUUGUCGAGGCAUUCAUUAAUGAGGACUCAACUUAAUGUGGGAACAACAUUUUGGUUGAAGAAGGCCUUCUAUGGGUGAUGAAGACUCCGAUUCUGUGGUUUUGCCUAUGCCUUCAGUCUCAACAUCUCAUAGUGAUCGUAGGUGCUGUAACACCACCUCCUAUGCUGCCAAAAUGGUAUUUUCUGGCUUUCAACUUAACUCUAGUAAGAAUAUAGAGUUAGUUCUUAGUGUGUUAUUCUUGUUCACUUUAAAUGAAAGGCUUUACAAACUAUAGCUGUUUGUUUUGUUACCUUAGCAUCUAUAAAUAAUGUUCUGCAAAAUGUUUUGCAUAAAAGUUAAUUUCUGGAUGCUUGCUGGUCUAGUGAAACUACCAGUUUGUUUCAUAAUAUUUCUUUCAUGAUCCUUUGAACCUUAUAAUAGUUGUGUUCUUCAAUAAGUUUCAUACAUGCGCAUCAUAAUUUGCUGAAUGUUCCUAUAGGAGUCAGUUGUAACUGAAACUUGGCUAGUACUUGGUGACCAUGAUUAGUAAGCAAGUAAUACCUAUUGUAAAAUGUGGGAUGAGAUGGUCAUAGGUUUGAUUAAUUUAGUUAUUUUUGUAGUGUAAUUAUCACUUUCAUAUGCAACAGACAUUGUAUGUUUCAUUUUUCACCA